rnacentral:rRNA from 1 species
AACGAACGCUGGCGGCAGGCUUAACACAUGCAAGUCGAACGCCCCGCAAGGGGAGUGGCAGACGGGUGAGUAACGCGUGGGAAUCUACCCAGUUCUACGGAACAACUGAGGGAAACUUCAGCUAAUACCGUAUACGCCCUACGGGGGAAAGAUUUAUCGGAAUUGGAUGAGCCCGCGUUGGAUUAGCUAGUUGGUGAGGUAAUGGCUCACCAAGGCGACGAUCCAUAGCUGGUCUGAGGGGAUGAUCAGCCACACUGGGACUGAGACACGGCCCAGACUCCUACGGGAGGCAGCAGUGGGGAAUAUUGGACAAUGGGCGCAAGCCUGAUCCAGCCAUGCCGCGUGAGUGAUGAAGGCCUUAGGGUUGUAAAGCUCUUUCAGUGGGGACGAUAAUGACGGUACCCACAGAAGAAGCCCCGGCUAACUUCGUGCCAGCCGCCGCUGUAAAAC